rnacentral:rRNA from 1 species
GCAAGUCGAACGGAAGUCGUCAUAAUGAAACUGAUACUGAUUUGACGAUUUAUCUGAUUUGAAGUUGAUGCAGAUUAUGACAAUGGCUUAGUGGCGGACUGGUGAGUAACGCGUGAGCAACCUGCCUAACAGAGGGGGAAUAACAGUGAGAAAUCAUUGCUAAUACCGCAUAUGCUCACAGUACCACAUGGUACAGUGAGGAAAGGAGUAAUCCGCUGAUAGAUGGGCUCACGUCUGAUUAGCUAGUUGGUGGGGUAACGGCCUACCAAGGCGACGAUCAGUAGCCGGGCUGAGAGGCUCUACGGCCACAUUGGGACUGAGAUACGGCCCAGACUCCUACGGGAGGCAGCAGUCGGGAAUAUUGCGCAAUGGAGGAAAAACCUCUGACGCAGUGACGCCGCGUAUAGGAAGAAGGUUUUCGGAUUGUAAACUAUUGUCAUUAGGGAAGAUAAAAGACUGUACCUAAGGAGGAAGCCCCGGCUAACUAUGUGCCAGCCGCCGC